rnacentral:lncRNA from 1 species
AAUCUGUUUAUAUAUUUGACUCUAACUGAUCCUUCAUAAUUGAUGAACAAAAACAUUUCUUAAAAGAUUUGUUAUUUGUUUGUUGGAUAGUCUGGCUUUUGCAUUUUAAGUGCGGAUUAGAAAGAAGUAGUAUUUUCCAGUUCCAUAUUGAUUUCUGCCUUUUCACUCUUAGGUUACUUAUCUUUUCCAAGCACUACAACAAAACAUUACUAGUAGAUACUUGAAACCAGUGAGAUAAACCAGGGUAGUCCUGUAAUUAUGCACAUUACAUUACAUCACAAUGCUCCCAAAAGCCCUGACUCAGCAGUCCAACCAGGUAUGCAAGCACAUACUCAUAUUUCAGAAACCACAGAGACUGUGCUUUAAGAUUAUACACUUUUUUAUGGUAGAGAUUAAUUUGUCUUUUACUGACUUAAGUCCAUGUUGUCUUAACCUGACCAAUGAAGAAAAAGACAGAAAAUAGUUCAGAGGCUUGUCUCACCCAAAGUCAGUUGGAUCAAUGGUCACUUCUGAAGGACAAUGUGUCAGAUAGCAAGGAUCAUCUUUUGGAAGUUCCUAUCUCUUUCUAUUGGCUGCCAAAGAAAUCUUGGUGACUCAUUUAAAUACACACUUUAUUAGAAAGCAUUGAUCUUGCCUAUUGUGUUCUGCCUGAUG